CAAUAGCGUAUAUUUAAGUUGCCGCAGUUAAAAAGCUCGUAGUUGGAUUUCGGGUGGGAAUGGCCGGUCCGCCGUUUCGGUGUGCACUUGCUACGCCCACCUUGCUGCCGGGGACGUGCUCUUGAGUUCACGCUCGGGACACGGAGUCGGCGAGGUUACUUUGAGUAAAUUAGAGUGUUCAAAGCAGGCCUACGCUCUGAAUACAUUAGCAUGGAAUAACACGAUAGGACUCUGGCCUAUCUUGUUGGUCUGUAGGACCGGAGUAAUGAUUAAGAGGGACAGUCGGGGGCAUUUGUAUUUCAUUGUCAGAGGUGAAAUUCUUGGAUUUAUGAAAGACGAACUACUGCGAAAGCAUUUGCCGAGGAUGUCCUCAUUAA
rnacentral:rRNA from 1 species